GGACGCGAUCAUACCAGCACUAAAGCACCGGAUCCCAUCAGAACUCUGAAGUUAAGCGUGCUUGGGCGAGAGUAGUACUAGGAUGGGUGACCCCCUGGGAAGUCCUCGCUUACAUGAGCC
rnacentral:rRNA from 16 species